rnacentral:rRNA from 1 species
AUUGAACGCUGGCGGCAUGCCUUACACAUGCAAGUCGAACGGCAGCACGGGGGCAACCUGGUGGCGAGUGGCGAACAGGUGAGUAAUGCAUCGGAACGUGCCAUUGAGUGGGGGAUAACGUAGCGAAAGUUGCGCUAAUACCGCAUAUUCUGUGAGCAGGAAAGCAGGGGACCGCAAGGCCUUGCGCUCUUUGAGCGGCCGAUGUCAGAUUAGCUAGUUGGUGAGGUAACGGCUUACCAAGGCGACGAUCUGUAGCGGGUCUGAGAGGAUGAUCCGCCACACUGGAACUGAGACACGGUCCAGACUCCUACGGGAGGCAGCAGUGGGGAAUUUUGGACAAUGGGCGCAAGCCUGAUCCAGCCAUGCCGCGUGAGUGAAGAAGGCC